UACGUAGGGGGCGAGCGUUAUCCAGAUUUACUGGGCGUAAAGCGCGUGUAGGCGGCUGGUUAGGUGUGAUGUGAAAUCUUCGGGCUCAACCCGAAAACUGCAUUGCAAACCGGCCUGGCUAGAGUGCAGGAGAGGGAAGCGGAAUUCCCGGUGUAGUGGUGAAAUGCGUAGAUAUCGGGAGGAACACCAGUGGCGAAGGCGGCUUUCUGGCCUGUUCUUGACGCUGAGGCGCGAAAGCUAGGGUAGCAAACGGG
rnacentral:rRNA from 1 species